UACGGAGGGGGCUAGCGUUGUUCGGAAUUACUGGGCGUAAAGCGCACGUAGGCGGACUGUUAAGUCGGGGGUGAAAUCCUGGGGCUCAACCUCAGAAUUGCCUCCGAUACUGGCAAUCUCGAGUCCGGGAGAGGUGAGUGGAACUGCGAGUGUAGAGGUGAAAUUCGUAGAUAUUCGCAAGAACACCAGUGGCGAAGGCGGCUCACUGGCCCGGUACUGACGCUGAGGUGCGAAAGCGUGGGGAGCAAACAGG
rnacentral:rRNA from 1 species